rnacentral:rRNA from 1 species
GAUGAACGCUGACAGAAUGCUUAACACAUGCAAGUCAACUUGAAUUUGGGUUUUUAACUUAGGUUUGGGUGGCGGACGGGUGAGUAACGCGUAAAGAACUUGCCUCACAGCUAGGGACAACAUUUGGAAACGAAUGCUAAUACCUAAUAUUAUGAUAAUAGGGCAUCCUAUAAUUAUGAAAGCUAUAAGCGCUGUGAGAGAGCUUUGCGUCCCAUUAGCUAGUUGGAGAGGUAACGGCUCACCAAGGCGAUGAUGGGUAGCCGGCCUGGGAGGGUGAUCGGCCACAAGGGGACUGAGACACGGCCCUUACUCCUACGGGAGGCAGCAGUGGGGAAUAUUGGACAAUGGACCGAGAGUCUGAUCCAGCAAUUCUGUGUGCACGAUGAAGUUUUUCGGAAUGUAAAGUGCUUUCAGUUGGGAAGAAACAAAUGACGGUACCAACAGAAGAAGAGACGGCUAAAUACGUG